GUGAGCCUGCCGGAAGAGACGGAGACCAACUGCCAUCUGACAAACGUGAACUUUAAUAAGCUCUCUGUCAGUCUCAUAGCAGUACGAGGAUAUGAAAGCAACAAACGGUGCUAAUAUUGUAUAGGACUGUUCCGGAGCUUUUUGGACGUUUUCUCCUAGUAAAAGGAAAGUUAAGUUUCCCGGCCUUUCUGGUAGAUGGAAACGUUUCCUGUGCAAUGUCAUGCAGAUGAAUGAGGCGAGUCCUGUAGAUGACAGUAAAGACCUAAUGACUUUUGACUGAGUUCCAGAUCAUCCCCUGGCCAGCCUAUUUCGGGCGAUUUCAGCCAGACAAAGUGCAGCUGGAUGGCUUUUAUGUCAAGCCAUUGUCAUUAAUUACACAUCGCAACUGCUUACCUCACCUCAUCUUUCACAUUCUAAAUUUUCAUUCGGUGAAAUUAAUUUGUUCAGACCUGCUGUGACUCAGCAUGAAUGGUACUGGGGUAAUUUAUAUGUUAUGGUGGAUAAAUUUCCCACUCAUUAUGAGCAUAGUAGAUGUGUCUUUUCAUGAUUUUUAAAGCUUGGGAAUGAGAGAUUAGUUCCAUUUGACAGAGUUUGUGUCCAGUUUGAAAACAGACACUGGUGAAGCUUGUUAAAUAACUGAUACUAAGUACUUGCUGGUUACUUACUAAGUAUCUUAUAAGGAAAUUAUACCAUCUUUAUGCUUUUUAUGCAUUUCCUUGUUCUGAAUGAAAAAGCUUUCAGGAGAUGCAUGUGUCUCCUGAUGGGCAGCAUGUUUAGCUGUGUCUAACCAGCAGGGUUGGGUGCAGGUUUAGCUGUGUAUAAACAGCACAGUGUUGGGUGCAGGUUUAGCUGUGUAUAAACAGCACAGUGUUGGGUGCAGGGUUAGCUGUGUCUAACCAGCACAGUGUUGGGUGCAGGUUUAGCUGUGUCUAACCAGCAGGGUUGGGUGCAGGGUUAGCUGUAUAUAAACAGCACAGUGUUGGGUGCAGGUUUAGCUGCGUAUAAACAGCACAGUGUUGGGUGCAGGUUUAGCUGUGUAUAAACAGCACAGUGUUGGGUGCAGGGUUAGCUGUAUAUAAACAGCACAGUGUUGGGUGCAGGUUUAGCUGUGUAUAAACAGCACAGUGUUGGGUGCAGGGUUAGCUGUAUAUAAACAGCACAGGGUUGGGUGCAGGGUUAGCUGUAUAUAAACAGCACAGUGUUGGGUGCAGGUUUAGCUGUAUAUAAACAGCACAGGGUUGGGUGCAGGGUUAGCUGUAUAUAAACAGCACAGUGUUGGGUGCAGGUUUAGCUGUGUAUAAACAGCAGUGUUGGGUGCAGGGUUAGCUGUAUAUAAACAGCACAGUGUUGGGUGCAGGGUUAGCUGUGUAUAAACAGCACAGUGUUGGGUGCAGGUUUAGCUGUGUAUAAACAGCACAGUGUUGGGUGCAGGUUUAGCUGUAUAUAAACAGCACAGGGUUGGGUGCAGGGUUAGCUGUAUAUAAACAGCACAGUGUUGGGUGCAGGUUUAGCUGUGUAUAAACAGCACAGUGUUGGGUGCAGGGUUAGCUGCGUAUAAACAGUGGGGUUGGCUCACCGUGGUUUUCUCCAGGCAGUGCAGUAGGUGGUGGUGUUGGCUCUCCAGUAAAGAUACGCUCUUAUUCGCCUGAUGAUCAUCACCAUCUGUGCCCUGGAUCAGACAGACGCACACACGCACACACACACGCGCACACACGCGCACACACAUGCGCACAUACACGUACACCCACACGUGCACCAGUACACGCAUACACACACACAUGAGCACAUGCAUAUUCCCACGUAUACGCACACUCGCGCACACACACACACGUGCGCGCACACACACACACGCACGUUUUGCACACAUACACACAUACAUGCAUGCACAUUAAAAUCCACAUUAUGUUCAGCUGGAGCCUUUUUGCUCAGUAUCAGAUCUGCUUAUACACUCUCUCUGAUUGUGCUCCUGAUUCUGACACACAGACUCUGGCUCUAUUCAGGGUUAAAAGGAGAGGAAUAGACAAAAAUAGAGGUUGAAACAGUUUUACUCUUUGGCUGCUUGGAUUUGCAUGUAAUAAAUCUCAUUUCCUCAUUUGGCUCAAGAAAUGGGUCACUAUUCUAUGCUUAGGAUUGGAUUUCAUCCAGACUGAAUUCCACCUGGUGAGCAGGGCUUGAUGCUGCUCUCUUAAAGAUCCCUCUCUCUACCUGUUGGACAGCAGUGAAGUAUGGACCCUGUACUGCACUUCCUGCCAGUGAAGUAUGGACCCUAAACUGCACUUCCUGCCAGUGAGGUAUGGACCCUGUACUGCACUUCCUGCCAG